AGCACUGUAUGGUAUCUGCAUCCAGUUGUAUAUCUGGCUGGAUUGUUCAAAUGUCAGUGCGAGAGCAAUUUGAUAGCUGCUGUUAUGGGCCUUAUAUCCUUUUAUAUGUUGGGUCCUUGCGGUUGCCGAAACAGCA
ensembl:snoRNA